GUUAGAUUCCGAACACCUUUUGGAAUUAAUCAAUCGCCAUUAAGUCAUUAGACUUGUUAUGUAAACUAUGUUAUGUCUCGUUUAUUCGUUAUUUAGAGCUUGGUUUCACGCCGGGAGCGUCAAAUCAGCAAAUUAUUUUCAUAAAAGGAUAAAAUAUUUUUUGGGGCAUAACUGUAAAAGGUCGACGUUUGAUUGAGCGCUCAAUGCGGCGUCUACAUUGUAUGUCCAUAACUCCGUCGUCUGGAAAAUGUGUUUCCACCGGCCCUAAUAAUAUCUGCGCAAACCAUUGUAGCUGAGGAUACAUUUGUCCUGAACGUUACCUUUCAGGUACCUGAGGACAAAUUCGUCCUGAACGUUACCUUGCAGUGUAGUCUUGCCGUACCUCUGGUUUCGUUGUCGGACUUCUGCCAGUCGAGGAUGACAAAAGAAGGGCACCCCUCAACAGUGACCACGGUUAGGUUGGAGGGCGGGGUGCGGGGGGGUGCCGUCACAUUCUGAUCACCGCCUUCCUCCUCGUCUGGGAAGUAAGUCAGGGAAGAAGUGAUGGAGCACGGCUCGUCCGGCUUCUUGUCUGUUUUGUAGACGACAUGGGGAGCUGUGGAAGCGUACGGGAGGAGUAUACUGUCAACAAUGUAAACAACAAGUGGACUACACUAUAUAACUUUCAUGUCUUUAUAGUACUUUCUCCCUGAUCCCUGGUUCAGUUCCUUAUCUUUUUAAGACUAUGUAAAUCUUAACAAUUACAUUUUCGAUCAAGAUAGCAUAGCUAAAACUGGAUCAUGGCACCUCAAUAUGGUAAUAUGAGAAUCGACGCCAGUAUAGGUAGUAACAAUGAUUUGCUGUCAAACUGCCCAUCACAAUGGUUUUUGUUAACUUUUAACAACAACAAAAAAAAGGGAAUAGUAUGUACAUG